AUACUUACCUGGCAGGGGAGAUAUCAUGAUAAAGAAGGUGGUUUUCCCAGGACAAGGCUUAUCCAUUGCACUCCAGAUGUACUGAUCCCUGCAAUUUCCCCAAAUGUGGGGAACUUUACUGCAUAAUCUGUGGUAGUGGGGGACUGUGUUCAUGUUCUCCCCUA
rnacentral:snRNA from 1 species